rnacentral:rRNA from 1 species
AACGAACGCUGGCGGCAUGCCUAAUACAUGCAAGUCGAACGAGAUCUUCGGGUCUAGUGGCGCACGGGUGCGUAACGCGUGGGAAUCUGCCCUUGGGUUCGGAAUAACGUCGGGAAACUGACGCUAAUACCGGAUGAUGACGUAAGUCCAAAGAUUUAUCGCCCAGGGAUGAGCCCGCGUAGGAUUAGCUAGUUGGUGGGGUAAAGGCCUACCAAGGCGACGAUCCUUAGCUGGUCUGAGAGGAUGAUCAGCCACACUGGGACUGAGACACGGCCCAGACUCCUACGGGAGGCAGCAGUAGGGAAUAUUGGACAAUGGGGGCAACCCUGAUCCAGCAAUGCCGCGUGAGUGAUGAAGGCCUUAGGGUUGUAAAGCUCUUUUACCAGAGAUGAUAAUGACAGUAUCUGGGGAAUAAGCCCCGGCUAACUCCGUGCCAGCCGCCGCCGUAACAC